CAGUCGCCGCGGGAAUACGGAGGAUCCUAGCGUUAUCCGGAAUCAUUGGGUUUAAAGGGUCCGUAGGCGGUCUUGUAAGUCAGUGGUGAAAGCCCAUCGCUCAACGGUGGAACGGCCAUUGAUACUGCAGGACUUGAAUUAUUGGGAAGUAACUAGAAUAUGUAGUGUAGCGGUGAAAUGCUUAGAGAUUACAUGGAAUACCAAUUGCGAAGGCAGGUUACUACCAAUUGAUUGACGCUGAUGGACGAAAGCGUGGGUAGCGAACAGGAUUAGAUACCCCCGUAGUCCCUGUCUCUUAUAC
rnacentral:rRNA from 1 species